UCCAGGUUAUCCCUGGCGGUCUCCUGCGAGUUCCGUAAAUGGCAACACAGGACAAGGGUUGCGCUCGUUGCGGGACUUAACCCAACAUCUCACGACACGAGCUGACGACAGCCAUGCAGCACCUCGACUCCGGUCCCUUGCGGGAAGUCCUAAUUUCUUAAGAUGGUCCAAAGCCGUUCGAGCCCAGGUAAGGUUCUUCGCGUUGCGUCGAAUUAAACCACAUGCUCCACCGCUUGUGCGGGCCCCCGUCAAUUCCUUUGAGUUUCAGCCUUGCGACUGUACUCCCCAGGCGGCAUAUUUAACGCGUUAGCUCCGGCACGGAUCAACUGAAUGACCCACACCAAAUAUGCAUCGUUUAGGGCGUGGACUAC
rnacentral:misc_RNA from 1 species